rnacentral:snRNA from 1 species
AGCGGUAGAGGGUGGUGCAACCAGACAACGCCCUCGCCUUUUACUAGGGCGUUCCGUGUUUCACCCUCACAUCAAUGUCGCUUUCCCAAUUUUUCAGCUCUCAGCUUCGCCCUGAGUU